CCUACGGGUGGCAGCAGUGAGGAAUAUUGGUCAAUGGACGCGAGCCUGAACCAGCCAAGUAGCGUGAAGGAUGACGGCCCUACGGGUUGUAAACUGCUGUUAUAAAGGAAUAAAGUGAGGCACGUGUGCCUUUUUGUAUGUACUUUAUGAAUAAGGAUAGGCUAACUCCGUGCCAGCAGCCGCGGUAAUACGGAGGAUCCGAGCGUUAUCCGGAGUUAUUGGGUUUAAAGGGAGCGUAGAUGGGUUGUUAAGUCAGUUGUGAAAGUUUGAGGCUCAACCGUAAAAUUGCCUUUGAUACUGUCAGUCUUGAGUACAGUUGCGUUCUGCGUACUUCGUGGUGUAGCGGUUACAUGCUUAGAUCUCACGC
rnacentral:rRNA from 1 species